GCCGAUGUGGCUCAAUUGGUAGAGCGACUGAUUUGUAAUCAGUAGGUCAUGGGUUCGAUUCCUGUCAGCGGCACCA
rnacentral:tRNA from 1 species